GGGCGUGUAGCUCAGUCGGUAGAGCGCCACUAUGACAUGGUGGAUGUCGCAGGUUCGAUCCCUGUCGCGCCCA
rnacentral:tRNA from 1 species